rnacentral:rRNA from 1 species
UGUGCCAGCAGCCGCGGUAAUACGUAGGGUGCGAGCGUUGUCCGGAAUUACUGGGCGUAAAGAGCUCGUAGGUGGUCUGUCGCGUCAUUUGUGAAAGCCCGGGGCUUAACUCCGGGUUGGCAGGUGAUACGGGCAUGACUGGAGUACUGUAGGGGAGACUGGAAUUCCUGGUGUAGCGGCGAAAUGCGCAGAUAUCAGGAGGAACACCGGUGGCGAAGGCGGGUCUCUGGGCAGUAACUGACGCUGAGGAGCGAAAGCAUGGGUAGCGAACAGGAUUAG